CUUCAGGAGAUGGGCACAUUUUCAGUGGCUUGACAGUGUCGCUACAUGGAGCAGGUUUUCUGAGUCCUAAAGAAAAUAAUUCUACACCAUGUACUCCGUGGACACCUGUCGUGAAUGUGGAAUGCUUUUCAAAAACUGCACACCUGGAUAUGUUAGAACAGGACAAAGGUGUGUACUUGAAGCAGUUUACUCAGAAGACCCACAUCCAGGUUACUGCGAUCACUUUUGCCGCCAAAUGCAAUAGUGAGAACGGACACGUAUACUAACUGUUGGCAGACAACCCUGAGCCAGCUGGGUGUUUUUCAAGCUGCAGGCCCCCGUGAAAAUUUGUGGCUGGAAACUUGGGAUUGAAUUUUGAAUUCUCCAGUGUUAUUACAGACUGUUAAUUAAUUGGUUAUGACAAAAAAGAGAUGUCAUAUGUUUAAACAACCUUUGGGUGAACUUUUUGUAUAAUUUUAAAAAUGUUAAAACUAACAUCUAUUGAGAGUCUACUUUAUGCUUUUUUGGUUUUAAUAACAUCCUGUUCAAUGUGGAAUAAAAUUCAAAUCCUCUGAA